rnacentral:rRNA from 1 species
UACAGGAGGGGGCAAGCGUUGUUCGGAAUUACUGGGCGUAAAGGGCGCGUAGGCGGCCUUCUAAGUCGAACGUGAAAUCCCUGGGCUCAACCCAGGAACUGCGUCCGAUACUGGAAGGCUUGAAUCCGGGAGAGGGAUGCGGAAUUCCAGGUGUAGCGGUGAAAUGCGUAGAUAUCUGGAGGAACACCGGUGGCGAAGGCGGCAUCCUGGACCGGUAUUGACGCUGAGGCGCGAAAGCCAGGGGAGCAAACGGG